CCGGCACGGGUGAGUAACACGUAUCCAACCUGCCGUCUACUCUUGGACAGCCUUCUGAAAGGAGAUUAAUACAAGAUGGCAUCAUGAGUCCGCAUGUUCACAUGAUUAAAGGUAUUCCGGUAGACGAUGGGGAUGCGUUCCAUUAGAUAGUAGGCGGGGUAACGGCCCACCUAGUCUUCGAUGGAUAGGGGUUCUGAGAGGAAGGUCCCCCACAUUGGAACUGAGACACGGUCCAA
rnacentral:rRNA from 1 species